rnacentral:rRNA from 1 species
CAGCAGUGAGGGCUUGGGUGCUAAGGUCCAAGUCCGAGAGGGAAAGAACCCAGACUAACAGCUAAGGUCCCAAAAUCUAAUCUAAGUUGAACAAAGGAGGUUCAGUUGCAGAGACAGCCAGGAUGUUUGCUUGGAAGCAGCAAUUCAUUUAAAGAGUGCGUAACAGCUCACUGGUCGAGCGACAGAGCAUCGAUAAUAAACGGGCAUCAAGAAUAGUACCGAAGCUUUAGAUUUAUACUUUAGAAGUAUAAGUGGUAGGGGAGCAUUCUAAGGUCGGUGAAGGCGGGACGCGAGUCCUGCUGGAGAGCUUAGAAAAGCAAAUGUAGGAAUAAGUAACGAUAAAGCAGGUGAGAAUCCUGCUCACCGAUAGACUAAGGUUUCCUGAUCAACGUUCGUCGGAUCAGGGUUAGUCGGGACCUAAGGCGAACCCAUCGUAGUGGUGGGGCAGUCGAUGGACAACUGGUUAAUAUUCCAGUACUAAUGUAUACUGCUAUGGAGAGACGGAGUAGUGACAAGUUCGCGUGGUGACGGAAUACCACGUUAAAGCCAGUAGAUAUAUUUUGAGUAGGCAAAUCCGCUCGAAAUGUCGAAGGUGAUAGUACAACAAAGCUUCGGCCGCGUUGAUAGUAACUGUAAUCAGACUUCCAAGAAAAUCUUCUAUGCUUCAGGUAUACAUGACCCGUACCGCAAACCGACACAGGUAGUCAAGGAGAGAAUCCUGAGGUGCGCGAGUGAUUCACGGCUAAGGAACUCGGCAAAUUAACCCUGUAACUUCGGGAGAAGGGGUGCUUCCUCUAGCGAUAGAGAAGCCGCAGUGAAAAGUCUCAGGCGACUGUUUAACAAAAACACAUGGCUCUGCGAAAUCGAAAGAUAAAGUAUAGGGCCUGACACCUGCCCGGUGCCGGAAGGUUAAGAGGGGGGCUUAGCAGCAAUGCGACGGUCUGAAUCGAAGCCCCGGUAAACGGCGGCCGUAACUAUAACGGUCCUAAGGUAGCGAAAUUCCUUGUCGGGUAAGUUCCGACCUGCACGAAUGGUGUAACGAUCUGAGAACUGUCUCAGCCGUGAGCUCGGUGAAAUUGUAGUAGCGGUGAAGAUGCCGCUUACCCGUCACGGGACGGAAAGACCCCGUGCACCUUUACUAUAGCUUUGCAUUGAUUUUGGGUAAAUGAUGUGUAGGAUAGGUGGGAGGCUUUGAAGCGGGUACGCUAGUAUUCGUGGAGCCAACGUUGAAAUACCACCCUUUAUUUACUUGGAGUCUAACCCCCGAAUGGGGAAACAGUGCAUGGUGGGUAGUUUGACUGGGGUGGUCGCCUCCAAAAAAGUAUCGGAGGCUUCUAAAGGUUCCCUCAGUACGCUUGGUAACCGUACGUAGAGUGCAAUGGCAUAAGGGAGCUUGACUGUGAGACAAACAAGUCGAUCAGGUACGAAAGUAGAGCAUAGUGAUCCGGUGGUUCCGCAUGGAAGGGCCAUCGCUCAAAGGAUAAAAGGUACGCCGGGGAUAACAGGCUGAUCUCCCCCAAGAGCUCACAUCGACGGGGAGGUUUGGCACCUCGAUGUCGGCUCGUCACAUCCUGGGGCUGGAGAAGGUCCCAAGGGUUCGGCUGUUCGCCGAUUAAAGUGGCACGCGAGCUGGGUUCAGAACGUCGUGAGACAGUUCGGUCCCUAUCUGUGAUGGGCGCAGGAAAUUUGAGUGGACCUGAUUUUAGUACGAGAGGACCGAAUUGGACCAACCUCUGGUGUAUCUGUUGUGCCGCCAGGUGCAGUGCAGAGUAGCCACGUUGGGACGAGAUAAGCGCUGAAAGCAUCUAAGCGCGAAACUCACCACAAGAUGAGAUUUCCAUACAGGGACGUCAGAGACUAUGACGUUGAUAGGCUGCAAGUGUAAAGUCAGAAAUGGCAUAGCUGAGCAGUACUAAUAACCCGACAAUUUUCUUAA